rnacentral:lncRNA from 1 species
UGAUGAAACUGACAAAGGCGAGAGCGCGCAGCAGCCCACAGCAGCCGAGUUCGCGCCGCCGGUAGGUGCUGCCAUGCCAGGGGGCGGGAUCGUGGAGCGCCUCGCAGAACCGCACGAAAGCAAAAACAAAGCCAUCUCUCCGGAGCAGAAAUAGAACAGACGUGGCCGGGGAAAGCCAAAUAUUUCCUCUCUCCAAUCGCUUUCUCGGAGGGAGUUUUUGCAACCCCCACAACACAGGUUGAUUGGAAAGGUCUCUCUCCCGGAUAACAACAAUUCAAUGUGCCUUGACAUUUUAAUAGCCUGCCGUCCUGGUGAACACAAUCGAGCAAGGCAGUGAAGCAAACAUCAUUAGGUGGCUGGACUCAGACACAUCACGCUCCAGUUUGGGUUCCAAGGUGCUUCUCUCUGGAUUUUCACCUGCCUUGCCAAAAAUGAUUGAUUACGCUGGGCCAACUGGGUGUCCGGCAAUACCCAACAAAUGACUUUGGCCCCUAACAGCAGGUCUUGGCCAGACAGAAAUCAAUAUUUCACCAUUAAAAUCUAUCAAAGAAGAGUUAAGGCACCAUCUGUCCCUGCCGCCUCUCUAUGGUGUGUGAACAUUAAAUCCGACACUUGUACUACAUGGGUAAUCAAUAUAUAGUGGUUCACAGAUCAUUUGUGGUUCCCUUUUAGCAGUGAUGGAUGUCUGGAAUCGUUGUGAUUCAUUUUGUCAGACCAUUAAACAAGAUUCUGUCCAGUU